CUACGGGGCGCUCCAGUGGGGAAUAUUGCACAAUGGGGGAAACCCUGAUGCAGCAACGCCGCGUGAGCGAUGAAGGCCUUCGGGUUGUAAAGCUCUGUCUUCGCUGACGAUAAUGACGGUAAGCGAGGAGGAAGCCACGGCUAACUACGUGCCAGCAGCCGCGGUGAAUACGUAGGUGGCAAGCGUUGUCCGGAAUUACUGGGCGUAAAGGAUGCGUAGGCGGCUUCUUAAGUGGGAUGUGAAAUGCCGGGGCUUAACCUCGGAUCGGCAUUCCAUACUGGGAGGCUAGAGUGCAGGAGAGGAAAGCGGAAUUCCCAGUGUAGCGGUGAAAUGCGUAGAGAUUGGGAGGAACACCAGUGGCGAAGGCGGCUUUCUGGACUGUAACUGACGCUGAGGCAUGAAAGUGUGGGGAGCAAACAGGAUUAGAUACCCCCGUAGUC
rnacentral:rRNA from 1 species